rnacentral:misc_RNA from 1 species
GAAAGGUCUCCGUUACUCUUCAAAAGCCAUAACAUGCAACGUAAAGAAAUCACUGAUCCUAGCUUGGUUUGGCCUUCUCCACCAAGCGGAAACAUCCAUACCAGGACUGAUAAUAUUUCUACCAACAAAUCUGCAUAUUUCUCCACCGUAGAAGAGCUACUUAUUGCUUGUGCAAAUGACUCAAAAGCAGCUGCUAAUACACAGCCAGCUCCAUUAUCCACAAUAGACCUUUUAUUUCGUUCGCUUUCCUUUCCCCAGUACUUGAUCUUCAACACCAAUUCUUUACACUUCUUAUGAUCCCCACGUUGAGUUGCCGCUACAAUUCUCUUACAAAUAUCUGAAACCUCGUACGGCGUGACCGGAAUACGAGGAGUAGGAAUUCUUUCAAUCCCAUAAGAUCGAUUCUCAACACACCAGUCUUGGAUCAUCUUGCGUAUGAAAUGGUUUGGUAUUUGAUCGAUGCUCAACAAAACCUGAUUAGUAACAGGACAAGUCUGGUUACCAUCUUCUAUCCACUUGUCAAUGCUUUCUCGAUCAUAAGUGAUCCCCGUCGACAAAGUAACCGGAUCUUUCAUCAAGUCAAGAGAAAUCGGGCACCGGAAAUGAAUUGGAACCAAGACCAAAUUUUUGGGGGAAAUCAUCUUCGUUGUUUUUUUUUUUUCUUGAAGGGGGAGCCGUAUCUCUUCUUCUCCUCCAAGAUAACAUCAUGAACGAUAGAUCAAAAGAAGAAAUAUUAAAAAAAGAAAGGGUAUGCUUUUU